UAGGAUUCCCAUAGUAGCUGCGAGCGAACAGGGAAAAGCCCAUCACCGAAUCCCGCGUUCGGAAACGAUCGCUGGGAAAUGUGGUGUUAGGGAGGGUCCGUUAUCCCGUGAAUGUGCGAUACGUUUAAGUCCUUCUUGAACGGGGUCACAGCCCAUAGAGGGUGCCAGUCCCGUAAUUUUCGCCGUCGCCAUUUGCGGGAGGACUUCUCCUCAGAGUCGGGUUGCUUGAGAGUGCAGCCCUAAGUGGGUGGUAAACUCCAUCUAAGGCUAAAUAUAACCACGAGACCGAUAGCGAACAAGUACCGUGAGGGAAAGUUGAAAAGAACUUUGCAGAGAGAGUUCAAUAGUACGUGAAACCGUUCAGGGGUAAACCUGAGAAACCCGAAAGGUCGAAAGGGGAGAUUCAGCGCGUCUCAUGUCGUGGUAAUGAGUUUACGUGCGACAAACGAUGUUCGCAUCGUGAGCGCCGUAGAUUUAUUCAACUGCUUCUGAACGUGUGCACUUCUCCCCAAGUAGGACGUCGCGACCCGUUGGGCGUCGGUCUAAGGGCUGCGGUGGAGUCCGUUCGUAUAUGGUUUACGCCGUUACGUUCGAACCCGUAGUUUUACCCGGCCGACACGCUCGACGGUAUAUGAAAGGCGUCGGGCCGCCACUACAAUUGGCGUUCGAUCCUUGGCAAGCUCAUUUGUUUUUAAUGGUGACCGGACCUGGUGCCGGUCCUGUUGGCAAAUGGCUGUUCGCCAAGGUAUUCUCGAACAGACCCGAUAUAUGAGACGCCGUUCAGCGACGCUAUUGCUUUGGGUAAUUUCAGGACCCGUCUUGAAACACGGACCAAGGAGUCUAGCAUGUGCGCAAGUCAUUGGGUAGUUCUCAAAGACCUAAAGGCACAAUGAAAGUGAAAGUCAACCUUGUGUUGACCAAGGGAGGAUGGGUGACCAUUUAUGGUUGCCCCGCACUCCCGGGGCGUCUCGAUCUCAUUACGAGAUGAGGCGCACCAUAAGCGUACACGCUGGGACCCGAAAGAUGGUGAACUAUGCCUGGUCAGGACGAAGUCAGGGGAAACCCUGAUGGAGGUCCGUAGCGAUUCUGACGUGCAAAUCGAUCGUCUGAACUGGGUAUAGGGGCGAAAGACUAAUCGAACCAUCUAGUAGCUGGUUCCCUCCGAAGUUUCCCUCAGGAUAGCUGGCGCUCAUGCCUAAGAGUUUCAUCCGGUAAAGCGAAUGAUUAGAGGCAUUGGGGUCGAAACGACCUCAACCUAUUCUCAAACUUUAAAUGGGUGAGAUCUCCGGCUUGCUUAAAUGCAUGAAGCCGCGAGACUCGAAUCAGAG
rnacentral:rRNA from 1 species